UACAGAGGUGGCAAGCGUUGUUCGGAAUUACUGGGCGUAAAGGGCGCGUAGGCGGCCAUCUAAGUCAGACGUGAAAUCCCCCGGCUUAACCUGGGAACUGCGUCUGAUACUGGACGGCUUGAGUAUGGGAGAGGGAUGUAGAAUUCCUGGUGUAGCGGUGGAAUGCGCAGAUAUCAGGAAGAACACCGAUGGCGAAGGCAGUUCUCUGGGACGGUACUGACGCUGAGACGCGAAAGCGUGGGGAGCGAACAGG
rnacentral:rRNA from 1 species